ACUCCUACGGGAGGCAGCAGUGGGGAAUAUUGCACAAUGGGCGCAAGCCUGAUGCAGCCAUGCCGCGUGUAUGAAGAAGGCCUUCGGGUUGUAAAGUACUUUCAGCGGGGAGGAAGGCGAUAAGGUUAAUAACCUUGUCGAUUGACGUUACCCGCAGAAGAAGCACCGGCUAACUCCGUGCCAGCAGCCGCGGUAAUACGGAGGGUGCAAGCGUUAAUCGGAAUUACUGGGCGUAAAGCGCACGCAGGCGGUCUGUCAAGUCGGAUGUGAAAUCCCCAGGCUCAACCUGGGAACUGCAUUCGAAACUGGCAGGCUAGAGUCUUGUAGAGGGGGGUAGAAUUCCAGGUGUAGCGGUGAAAUGCGUAGAGAUCUGGAGGAAUACCGGUGGCGAAGGCGGCCCCCUGGACAAAGACUGACGCUCAGGUGCGAAAGCGUGGGGAGCAAACAGGAUUAGAUACCCGUGUAGUCCCAUG
rnacentral:rRNA from 1 species